rnacentral:lncRNA from 1 species
GCACACAGUACUUAUUGAGUAGACAUUCAAGGGGAGUUUUAUGAAUAAAAUUUUAUUUAGAGUAAAUGUCUAUCAUGUAAAGAGUUUUACUUAGUGCAUAAUCUAUUUUUCAUCCCAAAAUUAAUAAAAGUUCUCUCUCCUUACUUUUCUCUCCAAUAAUCUUAUUUUUGUUUUGGUUUUAUAACAUCCUUAAAAUACAAAGUCAACUUUUUCCUCCCAUAAUUGUGUCUUUAUUGGGACAUCUUAAUAUGUAUUUAUGCUCUUUCAAACUUCCUCUGCCCUAUAUUCCGUUACUAAAUUUUAUUGAUUAUGUUCAUAACUCUCAAAUAUAAUUUAAUCUGUUAAUUUAUUGCACCGUUUUGUAUUCUCUCAUAUAUGCCUACAUAAAUUCACUAGCUAGAUCAAGAAACACAAAUCAAAUCUAUUCAAGAAAUAAUAGUCUCUUUUAGCGGAAGCUUGUUUUGAUGCUAUGUCUAAGAAAGGUAUGAGGCGCUAAAGCGGAC